rnacentral:rRNA from 1 species
AUUGAACGCUGGCGGCAUGCCUUACACAUGCAAGUCGAACGGUAACAGGGAGCUUGCUCCGCUGACGAGUGGCGAACGGGUGAGUAAUGUAUCGGAACGUACCUUUUAGUGGGGGAUAACGUAGCGAAAGUUACGCUAAUACCGCAUAUUCUCUGAGGAGGAAAGCAGGGGACCUUCGGGCCUUGCGCUAAUAGAGCGGCUGAUAUCAGAUUAGCUAGUUGGUGAGGUAAAGGCUCACCAAGGCGACGAUCUGUAGCGGGUCUGAGAGGACGAUCCGGCACACUGGAACUGAGACACGGUCCAGACUCCUACGGGAGGCAGCAGUGGGGAAUUUUGGACAAUGGGGGCAACCCUGAUCCAGCCAUGCCGCGUGAGUGAAGAAGGCCUUCGGGUUGUAAAGCUCUUUCGGCCGGGAAAAAAUCGCAUGGGUUAAUACCCUGUGUGGAUGAUGGUACCGGAAUAAGAAGCACCGGCUAACUACGUGCCAGCCGCCGCAGUAACAC